AAAAAAAAAAGGCAUCCAGCGAAGAAUGACUCUGCGACUCUGCCUCAGGUGAUUAAUUGUUACGUACCGGCAUACUGCACUGCACCCACCACCAAGUUUUGUCCUCUCCUCUCUUAUUGUUGUCCAAUCAAAUAUCAAACAGUUUCUGUGUCGAUCUCUUAUCUGAAUUGUCAAAAGACACAAAACACAAAGCGCAACAUAAAUUUAUCUCUAUU
rnacentral:lncRNA from 1 species